UACGUAGGGACCGAGCGUUGUCCGGAUUCAUUGGGCGUAAAGAGCUCGUAGGCGGCUGCUCAAGUCGAAUGUGAAAACUCGAGGCUCAACCUCGAGCCUGCAUUCGAUACUGGGCGGCUAGAGUCUGGUAGGGGGAUCUGGAAUUCCUGGUGUAGCGGUGAAAUGCGCAGAUAUCAGGAAGAACACCCGUGGCGAAGGCGGCUCUCUGGGACGGUACUGACGCUGAGACGCGAAAGCGUGGGGAGCGAACAGG
rnacentral:rRNA from 1 species